CACGUAGGGCGCAAGCGUUGUCCGGAAUUAUUGGGCGUAAAGAGCUCGUAGGCGGUCUGUUGCGUCCGCUGUGAAAACCCGGGGCUUAACCCCUGGCUUGCAGUGGAUACGGGCAGACUAGAGGUAGGUAGGGGAGAAUGGAGUUCCCGGUGUAGCGGUGAAAUGCGCAGAUAUCGGGAGGAACACCGGUGGCGAAGGCGGUUCUCUGGGCCUUACCUGACGCUGAGGAGCGAAAGCGUGGGGAGCGAACAGG
rnacentral:rRNA from 1 species